UCCAUUUUCAUUUUGCAUUGCUAUAAAAAUUCUUCCUUUUUACUUGUUAGCAAGCUGGCAAGUGCAAGUAAAAAAUGCGAAGCUUCACUGUCUCACUAAUGCCAUGCAGUGAAAGAAAGGCGUGGAAUAAGCAAGCCGAUAAAGAACUGGCGCAUCUCUUGAGAUGCACUUGAAGUCUGAAAAGCUCUUGGUCUGACUCCUUCCUGCUUUAUGCAGUUGAAUGCAAGGAUGAAGUGAUGGACCACAGCAUAGUGGUCUGAGCAACAUUCCUGUGACCCUGGUUCCAACGAAUGUUGAAUCCAUUCGCACAAGAAACCCGCGAUUGAUUCAGGAAGAAUUGUGGAACAUUUCCGAUCAUUACCAACUGAUCACUGAGGUGCACCAGUUUGGAUGUGGAGGCAUUCUGUGCUGCUUGCCUGACCAGGCCUGCAUCACAGACCUACUAAGAUGCACAACAUUCGCUUCUCAUCCGAUGAAAAUGAAGCAGCCUCCGGAAAUCCAGGGUCACAUCCUAAACAGGCUACUUCAAGGUCUUCUUCAUGUUUCACCUGCCCAAAUGCACCUUGAACUAGCUACCACUUGCAAGUGCAGUUCUAGUCGUAUGCAAAGGAGGAACAUAAGGUCUACUGUACUUAUAUUGACAUUGAAGUUCUAGUGAGGUUCAGAUUUAUAAUGUAGAUUGCAAAUUGUCAAAACAAUGCCAUGCAUCACUUUUUUUACUUUGCAAGAUAACUCAUUGAAAAUAUGUGAACAUGAAAUCAGUCAUUGUUAUACAUGUUUAUGGGGUUCAAUAAUGUAAAGUGCCUCUAAUAAAACAGUCACAGAAGUAUAGAAAGAACCUUAACUUCUUAUUAGAAGAACAUUUCUUUGCUCUGAACUUUGUCUGCAAAUAUUUCGAAGCACUCAUGAGUGAUGAAAUAUAAGGCAGCACACAUAUGACAUGAUAGAGAAUUGAGCUCCAAUUGUUUGGUGCUCAUUAUCAUGUUCAUUCAAUUGCGUAGCAACAUGAAGCACAUGGAUAUGCAGCCAAAUAUAAAAUAAAUAGUGCCGACUCUGUAGGUGCCUUCAUUAUAUAGC